rnacentral:rRNA from 1 species
UACGGAGGGUGCAAGCGUUAAUCGGAAUUACUGGGCGUAAAGCGCGCGUAGGUGGCUAAGUCAGCCAGGUGUGAAAGCCCCGGGCUCAACCUGGGAACGGCAUCUGGAACUGCUUGGCUAGAGUGCAGGAGAGGAAGGUAGAAUUCCCGGUGUAGCGGUGAAAUGCGUAGAGAUCGGGAGGAAUACCAGUGGCGAAGGCGGCCUUCUGGACUGUAACUGACGCUGAGGCAUGAGAGCAUGGGGAGCAAACAGG